AACGAACGCUGGCGGCAUGCCUAACACAUGCAAGUCGAACGAGACCUUCGGGUCUAGUGGCGCACGGGUGCGUAACGCGUGGGAACCUGCCCUUAGGUUCGGAAUAACUCCCCGAAAGGGGUGCUAAUACCGGAUAAUGUCUUCGGACCAAAGAUUUAUCGCCUUUGGAUGGGCCCGCGUUGGAUUAGCUAGUUGGUAGGGUAAAAGCCUACCAAGGCGACGAUCCAUAGCUGGUCUGAGAGGAUGAUCAGCCACACUGGCACUGAGACACGGCCCAGACUCGUACGGGAGGCAGCAGUGGGGAAUAUUGGACAAUGGGCGAAAGCCUGAUCCAGCAAUGCCGCGUGAGUGAUGAAGGCCUUAGGGUUGUAAAGCUCUUUUACCCGGGAUGAUAAUGACAGUACCGGGAGAAUAAGCUCCGGCUAACUCCGUG
rnacentral:rRNA from 1 species